rnacentral:rRNA from 1 species
UACGUAGGGCGCAAGCGUUAUCCGGAAUUAUUGGGCGUAAAGAGCUCGUAGGCGGUUUGUCGCGUCUGCCGUGAAAGUCCGGGGCUCAACUCCGGAUCUGCGGUGGGUACGGGCAGACUAGAGUGAUGUAGGGGAGACUGGAAUUCCUGGUGUAGCGGUGAAAUGCGCAGAUAUCGGGAAGAACACCUAUGGCGAAGGCAGCUCUCUGGGACGGUACUGACGCUGAGAGACGAAAGCUAGGGGAGCGAAUGGG